rnacentral:rRNA from 2 species
UGUUCGGAAAAGAUAACCGCUGAAAGCAUCUAAGCGGGAAACUUGCCUCAAGAUGAGAUCUCACUGGGAACUUGAUUCCCCUGAAGGGCCGUCGAAGACUACGACGUUGAUAGGCUGGGUGUGUAAGCGUUGUGAGGCGUUGAGCUAACCAGUACUAAUUGCCCGUGAGGCUUGACCAUAUAACACCCAAACA